CCUACGGGAGGCAGCAGUGGGGAAUUUUGGACAAUGGGCGCAAGCCUGAUCCAGCAAUGCCGCGUGAGUGAAGAAGGCCUUCGGGUUGUAAAGCUCUUUUGUCAGGGAAGAAACGGUGAGAGCUAAUAUCUCUUGCUAAUGACAGUACCUGAAGAAUAAGCACCGGCUAACUACGUGCCAGCAGCCGCGGUAAUACGUAGGGUGCAAGCGUUAAUCGGAAUUACUGGGCGUAAAGCGUGCGCAGGCGGUUUUGUAGGUCUGUCGUGAAAUCCCCGGGCUCAACCUGGGAAUUGCGAUGGAGACUGCAAGGCUAGAAUCUGGCAGAGGGGGGUAGAAUUCCACGUGUAGCAGUGAAAUGCGUAGAGAUGUGGAGGAACACCGAUGGCGAAGGCAGCCCCCUGGGUCAAGAUUGACGCUCAUGCACGAAAGCGUGGGGAGCAAACAGGAUUAGAUACCCUGGUAGUCCACGCCCUAAACGAUGUCUACUAGUUGUACGGGUUUUAAUUACGUUGGUAACGCAGCUAACGCGUGAAGUAGACCGCCGUGGGGAGUACGGUCGNAAGAUUAAACGNAAAUGAAUUGACCGGNUGAGACGUGCGACGGACGACGACGAGGGGAGGAGG
rnacentral:rRNA from 1 species